GGAUUUGAGAAGAGGUUGCAGACGAUCAAGGAGCGACACGUGCAGGGAUGGCUUGAAAAGGGUGAUUAGCUUCAGGUUCCAGGUGGGACCUAGUGGUAACUGAGUUGCAGGUAUUCCAUGACAGAGCUCCUUCUGCCUGGGCUGCUUUUUGGGGUAAGCGCUUUGU